rnacentral:lncRNA from 1 species
CACCCGCCUCGGCCUCCCAAAGUGCUGGGAUAACAGGCGUGAGCCACUGCGUCCAGCCUACUGUGUCUCAAAAAAAAAAAAAAAAAAAAAAAAAAAAAAGAAUGUGGCUUCCACUCUCCAGUCCCUCCAUCCCUCCACCUACCCAGCAUUUCAGCCACACAGUCUACCUCUUGUUCCCUGCUCACAUCCGGUACUUCCAGAGCCUGUACCUUGGCUCAGGUGUUCCCCAGCCUUGCGUGCUCUCCCUCCUGUGCACUAGGGAAAUUCUGUCUUUCCCAUUAGAGUUUCAGCUCCUUGAGGGCAACUAUCUCAUACUCUUACCCUUGACAUAACAGCCUCCAAAAUCCUAUUUACUGUUUUACUCCAGAAGAAUGCAUUUAGAGAAAGCUUGAUAAAUGCUGGAUCAAUUGAACUGAAUUCUAGUAAGGGGUACCCGCUCACUUUCCAGCCAGCCAGCCCAUUCUAUUUUAUAACAUAUCUCAUUGUUACCAAAUGUGUCUCCUACUCACCCAUACCUACCUCGUCCUAACCACCACUCUUGGUUGAUUACUUAUUGGGGUCUACUCAAUCUCUAGGAGGCCCCCAUUGACACAUUUAGCGCCUCACAUUGACAUUUAUUUAUUCCUCUGUCACUACCCUUCCUGUGACCAAGCUAUCCUGUUCACCUUCAAAUCCCCACACCACGUUUCAGGUACCAGCUGUACAUUUUACUAGGGACUGUCCUCACCGUGACAGCACCACCAAAGGAUGAAGCAUCUGUAGGCAAUCAUCCAUCCUGCGUGUGUGUCAGGCUGGAUCUAUUCUGCUCCCCCAGGCUUCAGCGGUCAGGGGAAUCCAUUUCCUCUCCCCCAGCCUCACAGCCCUCCAGCCUCUAGGCACUGUGAGAGAACCCCUAGGUACAGGGUUAGUGGAAGUUGAGCUCCUGCCCUCUUACAAAAGAAGUCUCCUUUGCUCAAAUCAUGAUGUAUUUCCUCUGUGUUUUGUUUUGUUUUUUGUUUUUUGAGAUGGAGUUUCGCUCUUGUUACCCAGGCUGAAGUGCAAGGAUGCAAUCUCAGCUCACUGCAAUCCCCACCUCCUGGGUUCAAGCAAUUCUCCUGCCUCACCCUCCCGAGUAGGUGGGAUUACAGGCAUGCGCCACCACACCAGGCUAAUUUUGUAUUUUCAGUAGAGAUGGGUUUUCUCCACAUUUGUCAGGAUGGUCUCAAACUCCCGACCUCAGGUGAUCCGCCCGCCUCAGCCUCCCAAAGUGCUGGGAUUACAGGCAUGAGCCACUUCACCCGGCCUCCUCUGGGUUUAAUUUACAAACUAUCUGCCCAGCCCAAACUUGUCCAGGGCUUUCCUCCAAAGCAGGCUUUGUUCCUAUUGGUUCCUACCCAGGUAUAAAUGUGCCCUCAGUUUUGCAAAUUUGCAGUUUUUGAAAUUCUUCCUAUUCUUCCAAGUUCAGCAGCAGACUUGAAACCUUCUCCAGGAACCACUGAAGACUCCUGCAGCCCCUGUCCCAUCUUGUCCUCUUCUGUGCCUUCUGGACCCCUCUCAGGAUGUGCUCCUUCGCUGGAGGGACUAAGAUGAACCAACUGAGACUCAAGAGAGGUGGUAACUCUGCAAGUUCACUCCCUUGAGAAGUAGCAGAGCCAGGAUUCAGACCUAGUCUGCAGUCAAGGAUCUUCCCCACAGUAUCAUAAUCCCACCAAACAGCCCAUGGAUGAAAAGGAAAAUGAGUGCCUUCCCAGCACUCCCCGAACAAACAGGGCAGACCUCAGAUCCCUACACCUCAGGCGCCAGCUACGCGAGAAUCUCCAAGCCCCAUCUCGGGAUGUGUAGGAGUCUAGCCGUCCAGAGCCCCUCAGCCUGAGCCCCUCUCCUUGAAUGCAGCCAGCCCAGAGGAAAACAGAGGUAGCCGGGAUUGAAGCCCACCCUACUGUGAAGGCCUAAAGAAACAGCCUCAGGAGCUGAUCUGCGAUAAGAUGUCUUCUGCCCGGAAACAAAAGGCCCGGCAGGAUGAUCUGCAUCCCCUCAUUAUCUGGGAUUUGAGAAUUCUGAUUGAGUUUCUGAAGAGCUAGCUGCAGAGACCCAGGGUGGGGACUAGGUUGACUCUCUGGACGUUUUGGCCUGUCCUUCCCUUACUCAAGAGUACACUCCCCCAGCCUGGACCCCUUGGUGGUGUGGGAGGAAAGGCCACAGACUUGGCCAGGUAGGGUGGCUCAUAUCUGUAAACCCAACACUUUGGGAGGCCAAGGCGGGCAGAUCACCUGAGGUUGGGAGUUUGAGACCAGCCUGACCAAAAUGGAGAAACCCCAUCUCUACUAAAAAUACAAAAUUAGCUGGGCAUGGUGGCACAUGCCUGUAAUCCUAGCUACUAGGGAGGCUGGGGCAGGAGGAUCACUUGCACCCAGGAGGCAGAAGUUGUGGUGAGCCGAGAUCGCGCCAUUGCACUCCAGCCUGGGCAACAAGAGCGAAACUCUGUCUCAAAAAAAAAGAAAAGACAACAGACUUGACAAAGACCUGAUUGGGUCUCUGGGGAGACUGCAGCUGUGGGCCCCCAAUCCCACCCUGCAUUCCAGAACUGCCCAGGAAAGUUGGCUCUCAGGAGGUUACUGAGUAAUCGCUGAGCAGAAAUGUAAUGAUAGGAUUGGACUUUUGUCUGUUUUGAGGGGAGCCUGUUAUUUGGCUGCUUCUGUUCCUGGGGGACAGGUGUGAGGUGUGGUUAUUAGAUGACGGAGUGGAGGCUGAGUAUCAACAGUACAGAGUGCUGAGCUGGACAGAGGAUGAGGCCCUGCCCCUGCCUCAGGGAGCUCAGCGUCAAAAGCUGCCAGGCUGAUGAGAUGAAACUGGCAGGUUUGGUGGGACUGCUCACUGCUGAACCUAGACCUUCUAAAGACUCCUCCUCCCACCCCUAUGAACAAGCCCAAGAGGGGACAGUGUUAUUGCUCUCAUGCUGCAGAUAAAGAAGCUGACUCAGAAGCUCUCCCCGUAUAUGCCAAGCCUUUUCUUUUCUUUUUUCUUUUUUUUUGAGACAGAGUUUCCUCUUGUUGCCCAGGCUAGAGUGCAAUGGUGCGAUCUCAGCUCACCGCAACCUCUGCCUCCUGGGUUCAAGCUAGUCUCCCACCUCAGCCUCUCAAGUAGCUGGGAUUACAGGCACCCACC